AGUAAAUUGGGCAGUCGCGAAGCGGAAAGCUUUGAGGAAAGUCCGAGCUUCGAACAGCAGGAUAACGGCUAACAGCCGCCGAGGGCGACCUUAGGGAAAGUGCAACAGAAAUAAACCGCCUGAGUUUUCAGGUAAGGAUGGAAAGGCGAGGUAAGAGCUCACCGGCGCACAGGAGACUGUGUGGCCCUGUAAACCCUAUCCGAAGCAACACCGACCGAAUGCCGAAAGGCGCGUCAGCUGGGCGUAUAUUCAACGGGUGGCUGGAGCGUGCAGGUAACUGCACGCCAAGAAAGAUGAUUGCCUUAAAUGACAGAACUCGGCUUACAGAUUUACUCGC
rnacentral:RNase_P_RNA from 1 species